UUUCCGGUUGAUCCUGCCGGAACCUACUGCUAUCGGGGUGGGACUAAGACAUGCGAGUCGAGCGUCUCUAGCUAUGUUGAGACGCGGCAGACGGCUCAGUAACACGUGGCUAACCUACCCUCAGGACGGGGACAAACCCGGGAAACUGGGGCUAAUACCCGAUAGGUGAAGAAACCUGGAAUGGUUUUUCAUCCAAUGGACUGUGAAAACAUGCUUUCAUUGUUGCCUGGGGAUGGGGCCGCGUCCGAUCAGGUUGUUGGUGAGGUAAUGGCUCACCAAGCCUUUAACCGGUACGGGCCGUGAGAGCGGUAGCCCGGAGAUGGGUACUGAGACAAGGACCCAGGCCCUACGGGGCGCAGCAGUCGCGAAAACUCCGCAAUGCA
rnacentral:rRNA from 1 species